CAUGCAAGUCGAACGCAGUAGCAAUACUGAGUGGCAAACGGGUGAGUAUAAUGUGGGUAUCUGCCUUUUGGUUUGGAAUAACACGAGGAAACUUGUGCUAAUACCGAAUAAGCCCUCACGGGGAAAGUUUUAACGCCGAAAGAUGAGCCCGCACUUGAUUAGCUAGUUGGUGAGGUAAAGGCUCACCAAGGCAACGAUCAAUAGCUGUUCUUAGAGGAAGACCAGCCACAUUGGGACUGAGACACGGCCCAGACUCCUACGGGAGGCAGCAGUAAGGAAUCUUGCACAAUGGGGGAAACCCUGAUGCAGCGAUGCCGCGUGAGUGAAGAAGGCCCUUGGGUUGUAAAACUCUUUCGUCGGGGAAGAAAAUGACUGUACCCGAAUAAGAAGGUCCGGCUAACUUCGUGCCAGCAGCCGCGGUAAUACGAAGGGACCUAGCGUAGUUCGGAAUUACUGGGCUUAAAGAGCUCGUAGGUGGUUAAAAAAGUUGAUUGUGAAAUCCCAAGGCUCAACCUUGGAACUGCAAUCAAAACUUUUUAGCUUGAGUGUGAUAGAGGAAAGUGGAAUUUCUAGUGUAGAGGUGAAAUUCGUAGAUAUUAG
rnacentral:rRNA from 1 species